rnacentral:sRNA from 1 species
GUUUGUUCGUCUUUCGAUUCAUAAAUAAACGUCAACCGAUUUACGCCCCAGUGCUCCAAUAGUUUCUCUGCACGUUAGGCUUUUAUCUUUUAAUUAAUUUGUAAGGACUUUAUUUAUGUCUAAUAAAUCAACUGGCACAGUAAAAUGGUUUGACGAGAGCAAAGGUUUUGGCUUUAUUUCUCAAGCUGACGGCGGCAAAGACGUAUUCGUACACUUCCGCGCUAUCGAGUCUGAAGGUUUCCGUACCCUGACUGAAGGUCAAACUGUUGAGUUUGUAGUUGAGCAAGGCAACAAGGGCCCUCAAGCGGCUCAGGUAGUUGUACGCUAAUUACGCUCCGGCAGACGCGUCUUGCGUCUGCCAGCCA